rnacentral:lncRNA from 1 species
CAUACUGUGGUUUUACUACUGUGCUUUCAAAUUUUGCAAAGCAUAUUGUAUGCAAAACAGAGUAUGAAGAUUCAAAUCCUGAAAACCUGAAAACGUAUUCUGCUUAGACUUUAACGCAAACCAGAUGAUAAAUAGGGCUGUAUAACUGUUUCAAAGUUUUAAAGUUUAUCCUUUUCCUUCUACCUUUUAAGGAUAAAUGGUAUUAUUUUUUUUUACAGGUAGAGACUUGAGCUCCCUUUGUUUCAGCAAAGGAAGUCUGUAGCGAGCAGGGAAUUCUUCCCAACUUUCUGUUUCCCAGAUUACCAAUAUAACUAAUAGACUAUCCUUCCCAUCCUUCAAUUUUUUUUUGCUCCAUAUUAAUGGAAUUUAUGUUUUAUUUCAUUAAAGCAGUGUUUUGACUGGCCAAGGCUUUUACAGACUUCUGUAUCAGUAACUGAUUAAAAUCAAACAAAAGAUGCCCAGGGAAAGGAUUCUGUCCACUAAGUGUGUUUGUUCUGUUGUUCUUGGACUGGAAACUACCAUUUGCCAAAGAUUUUUUUUCUUUUUUUUCAGAGGACAAGGAGGGAAUGGUUAAUAGUAUUGGGAUGCCUUAAUCUGUUACUGAUUUCUCUUUCAUAGUCACCUUUGUUGUCUUUGUACAUCCCUGGAGUGAAGUGUUUCAGAAAGGUUCGUGCAUACAUUUAUUAAGCUGUCUCUCUACAAGAAUUAUGAUAAAUUUUGUUUUCUGAUCUUGUCAGGCACUUGUCUUGUGGCAAUCCAUAUCACAAUUAUUUGGAGUAGAAUUUGAUUUCUCGUAAUUUAUCAAUUUGCUUUCAUCGUAUAGGUUUAAAAUAUAGAGCGAAUAUACCUCAAAAUGUAGAUUAUUCCCAUAUGUGCUGUGAACGUGCACAAGCAUGUAUUCUCUUUUGGCUACCUUAU